CCUACGGGAGGCAGCAGUGAGGAAUAUUGGUCAAUGGCCGAGAGGCUGAACCAGCCAAGUCGCGUGAAGGACGAAGGUGCUAAGCAUUGUAAACCUCUUUUGUCAAGGGACAAAAUCAGGCUCGAGAGCCUGACCGAGGGUACUUGAAGAAAAAGCAUCGGCUAACUCCGUGCCAGCAGCCGCGGUAAUACGGAGGAUGCGAGCGUUAUCCGGAUUUAUUGGGUUUAAAGGGUGCGUAGGCGGGGUGUUAAGUCAGCGGGAAAAGCCCGGGGCGCAACCCCGGCGAGCCGUUGAAACUGGCUGUCUAGAGAGGGCGAGAGGUAUGCGGAAUGCGUGGUGUAGCGGUGAAAUGCUUAGAUAUUACGCAGAACUCCGAUUGCGAAGGCAGCAUACCGGCGGCGAUCUGACGCUGAGGCACGAAAGCGUGGGUAUCGAACAGGAUUAGAUACCCGGGUAGUC
rnacentral:rRNA from 1 species